rnacentral:lncRNA from 1 species
UAGAAACUUUGAAGGGUAAAAUAUUAUAAAUAACAAGAAAGAGGAACCUAAUAUAAAUUACACAUCCAUUUUUAUUUCUGAAUAGAAAACUAUUGAUAUGAGUUUCUUCAUUAUUCGUACAAAGUAUGAAAAACAAGGGAACGAGGUAAUACAUCUGAAAUACUGAAAUCACGAGGAAUUAACUUAUGCAUAAUAGGGUUUUAGCAACCUUUAAUUUGUUGUCAUCGUACACAAAGACAUCCACCUUUCUUAUACUCCACGACACCUUAAAUCGUUAGUUAUAACAUAAAUACUGCAAGUACAACAAAUCCAACAAUCGGUAAGGCAAUCAUCGUUGGAGCUACAACUUCUAUAACAAGUCGCAAGUUGUGGGAGUAGUCUUUUCUUGAGUCCUGAGAGAUUAUGAUCAACAUCCAGUGCAACGACAACUUGUGUCUUUGAGAAGUUGGGCAUAUUAACUGAAAUAUUUCACCAUUAUAAUAAUUGAAAUUAAAUUUUGACUAAUAUAGCAUCACAAGCACACAUUUAAAUGUCAUGCAUAUUCAUGCAUACAAUAUGUGUGUGCACGUGCGUGUAUGUGUGUGUGCGUGCCCACAACAAUAUAGAGAUAAAGAAGAAUAGAUACUCACUAGUGAUAACCAUGAGAAGAAUAGUGAUAACAUAACAAAGUUUAAUUAACGCCAUAUCAGAAAUUUUACUUCAAAAGUUUUUGUAUGAGCAUCUCAUUGUCGG